rnacentral:rRNA from 1 species
GUAGGUGGCAAGCGUUGUCCGGAAUUAUUGGGCGUAAAGCGCGCGCAGGCGGUCCUUUAAGUCUGAUGUGAAAGCCCACGGCUCAACCGUGGAGGGCCAUUGGAAACUGGGGGACUUGAGUACAGAAGAGGAAAGCGGAAUUCCACGUGUAGCGGUGAAAUGCGUAGAGAUGUGGAGGAACACCAGUGGCGAAGGCGGCUUUCUGGUCUGUAACUGACGCUGAGGCGCGAAAGCGUGGGGAGCAAACAGGGAUUAGAUACCCUGGUAGUCCACGCCGUAAACGAUGAGUGCUAAGUGUUAGGGGGUUUCCCGCCCCUUAGUGCUGCAGCUAACGCAUUAAGCACUCCGCCUGGGGAGUACGGCCGCAAGGCUG